rnacentral:tRNA from 1 species
GCUUCUGAAGCUGAUAUUCAAUAGCGUUGGUCUUGUAAACCAAAGAAAGGGUUAUAACCCCUGAAGCU